GACUUUUUUCAUUGGCUGACCAUGUGGCGGUUCCUAAAAGUGAGAUGAUUUGCUAAACACAUUGGGAUUGAAUUUAGUCCUGUGGAUGUGCAGUUUCAUUUCAAUAUUUGAAGAACUUUUUUUUGGAUCAACCUCGUUAUGAAGUGACACAACUAGUCUACAGUAAUGAAUGUGAACAGAAUCUACACAGUCAUGCUACAGACUCCUGGAUUGGAGGUGCGGACAAAUCGAAGUGGUCCAGCAUUGAAUGGGAUGGCAGCAUCCAGUGUUUUUGAUCUCCCAGAGCUGCUGUUUGUGAAAAGGUUAUCAGGACUGGAUAUACUUCUGGAGGACCUUAUGCAAAAUCGUUCAUGGAAGGUGUUGUUUCCCUUGAGAAAGACUCCAAAAAUUUUUUAUUAGAAAUAUUUUUUUUUUUCUUCUGAUAUUCUGAUAUCAACAGUGAUGAUUGUACAAGAUGAAAUGAAUCAGCAGAAAUUGAGAAAAAAAGGUUUUUCCUCAUUUUGGUAGGAUAGUGUUAUUUUCAUGAGAACCCCUUGAAGAGAUUUAUAUGAUGAUGAUCCUGAAAGAUAGUGAUCAAUUUAUGGCGAAUUGAGUCGGAGGUGGAAAUUCUAAUUCCGAUCAGGUUGAUCGUUUACUCUAUCUCGUUACUUGGUUGGGUAGUGUUUUGCCUGAAAGGCAUACAACAGUGAAUUAUGUGAAAAGAUUUUGUGAAAUUGGAGGUACAAUUGAAGAGUUUGAAACUGUAAUUUUCAUUAUUAAUAUUUUUAUAGUUACUUUAUAAAAAGUGAAAUGUCAAGGAUUUAAACUUUUAAAUAAAUGAAACCAUUAGUA